CCUCAAAAUCCCUAAUUUUCCAUAGAUUGGUUCUACAGCUUUUCUCUACCUUCAUGUGCAGCUCAGUAGUUCUUCUUCUCGCUCUCUAGCCUUCAGUUGUAAGAUCUUGUUUUCGGAUUUCUUACAUAUUUCUAUUUAUUUCAUUCUGAUUUAUUUAUUUGUUUUAUGUUUGUGAUUCUUGGCGGAAACAUAAAAUUGAAUCUCUUUGAUUUCUUGAUUAAUAAAUUGAUAAUAUGAAAUAGGUGCUAUCUUUUGAAUCAUAGUAGUAUAACUUACCAAGUAAUUUUGGUACCCCCUAUGAUUCAAAAGUUUCAGGUAUCUUUUGAAUAUCUGUUUUUCUCUUUUAUGAUUGAUUUCAGAUUGGCUUUAUUUUCCCACAGUUGAGUCAAAAUUACACUUGAUAUGAGCCUAUUGAUUUCACUCUACAGAGAUUACUAAAUUUUUGUUACUAGAAUAAUAUUGCAUGUAUUCAAAAUGGGAGCCUAACUACUACACCUAUGUUAGAGAAUGAAGAAGAAUUAGUUGAGGCUAAGGCACUAAGGCAGAAAGUCGAGAAAUGUGAAGAAGCAGAUGAAGGAAUUCCAGGUGAAAGGUCUAGAUAUCGAUGCACUCUAUAUUACUCACAUCCGAGUAAACCAAGCUUGUAAGCAAAGAUGUAGAACUUAUUGUGCCCAUGGAAGAGUCAGCCGUAAGUUUUUGCCUGAUCACAUCUCUUUUGCUCUUACGCGAUACACGGUACUAUCUUUAACUUUUGUAUUGUCGUGUUAUGCUUUCGGAUGUCUUAUGAGGAAUGAUAACAUUGAUUGAUAUGAUGUUUGGAAACAGCCGUGCUCACAGGUUGUCCCGCGUGAUCUAGGGGUUGGACUCAUAGACUCAAAAAUCCGCCCUUACUAAUCCUAGUCUAGGAAAUUUCAUCCUAGAAUUUGCAGAGAAAGGGUCCGUGGGUUACACCAAUGAGUCAUGCCUUAGAAUUGGCAAUGGCAUGAGUGAGUCUUGGACUUGUUGAUCCCAUUUCUGGGUCAGCGGGACAACUUGUGGUACCUAACUUUUUGAUUGUGAAUGCCUGAAAUAGUAUUUCAUUUUGUAGGAAAAAAGUGCAGCUAGCAUUUUGAAAUCAUGGUCUAUUGCCACUCUACAACAGUAUAAUGAGUCUUAAUCAUUUUUAAUACUCAUCAAAUGUAAAAUGCAUGAGAAAGUGCGAAUUAGAUUUUCAUUUGAAUUGACAUUUUGACAGGCACUUCGCUUGAUUGUACUUGAGAUUAUUUACGAUACUAUUUGAUAACACAAAGACACACAAAUAAUCAAAGAAAGAUUUCAAAAAUCCUAGUUCCCUAAUGGGAUUGGUGGGACCUAACUACUACACAUCUUGGGGAUGAGGGGCCACUUCCUUGGGGCAUGCGAGGAAACCUGUAGGACUUAACCCGCGGUAGGUCUAGCAUGCUUUGUUUGGAUUUUUAGUUCUGCCAAUCUUGCUAGACUGACUGUGGGUUGGAUCCCAUGGUGUUCUAAAUGCGACAAGUGGGACAUACAAUUCCACUUAUUGAAUAUUAUGCUCAUCUGUUUAUCAUCUAUGAAGCAAAUGAGUUAACUUGGUACCAAACUUUGUAUUAGAAGAUGACUCAUGAUCCUUGAUUUCAUGUAUGUAAUCUAGGAUAGCCGCAUUCCCUCCUACUGACUGCAUACCGAUUUUUGUAUCUUUUUCAUCAAUUAGAAUAGUCUUCGACUGGUUGUGAACUGAUACAUCGUCUGCAGCUGUUCUUAGACUUCCAUCAUUAUAAAGCUUUGAUCUUGUCCACUGUCAUCUAUAAAGCAAGUAGGUUCUCUUGGUAUUAAUAUUUAAAUGAUCUUCACCCCACUUAGCUACUGAAACUUUCCUAUGUGUAGUUCGAGGACAAAUUUCCCCUAUGAAAAGUUAACAUAUUUAUGCAAGAGAUCAAUAUGGUGUUUGGAGACAGUCGGGCUACAUUCACUAGUUGUCUCACGUGAUCUAGGUGGUGGACCCAUGGUGCCAAAAACAUGGCGCCUGCUAUUUCUAGGUUUGUUUUUGGGUCCGUGGAUCCCACCCCUGAAUCACGCCCUCGGAUUAGCAUGUGAUAGGGUUCUCUAUCCAUAUGUCCCAUUCCUGAGUCAUGUCGAACAAUCUGCGGGACUCAAUUCACAGGAAGUCGAUGAGUCUAGGGUUUUUGGUUGGAAAACUGAAAAAUCAACUUAGAUGCCUGAAAUAUUUGAUUUUGAGUGUUAAAAGUGCAGCUAAUAUUUUGAAUUUUGGAUGUGCCCAAACUAAACAGGCCCCAUGUGGGACCCACAAUGGGCAACUAAUGUUAGUCCUCGUGUGGGGCCUACAGGGCUGUGUUUUUUUCAAGUUUGAAAAAUAGAAACCCAAAGCGGAGAAAAAUAAGGAAACAAAGAAAAGCUGAAAUAAGGAAACAGAGAAACCGUUAGAUUUUUGUAUGAAACAAUAGAUAUUUGUAUACAUAGGAGUUUAUACUUCAGUUGUCACCCAUUCCAAAACUUGGUAAAGAUAGUAGGGAAGAAGAUAUUUGUGAUGAUGAUGGAAAGAGAUAUGGAGUUUGCCAUAUCUAAAAUUGACCAAUAUAAACAAAGAACACAACUUGAAGAUUUUAUUAACUUUGUGUUAGUAGUAUAAAGGAGAAGCUAGUGAUAAUGGUGGCGGAGUGAAGGGUCAUGUUCGAUACUCGUCGAGAGACGAUAUAUUGCCAGGAUUGAAGGAUAUAUUGAGGACCAUUCCUAGUCACAAUAUGCUGAAAUCUGUGGAGCAUCUUCAGAUCCUGGACCACAGUGGUUUAGCAUUGUUACUAGCCGAAUUGCUAGAUUCCCCGAUACAAGAAACUAAAGAGAUAGCUAAGGAAUGUGUUAGACCCUUUCUAAUAGAUCCUAAAACUAAUCUGGCUUCUUCUUUCCUAGGUGUAUACAAAAUCAAUGUGCAACCAUAGUUUUGAUCUUUUGCGGAUUGUUUCGGCAUGCUACCGAUGACCACGAGCAACGGUUAUACGACUUCGGUCGUGAAACACUUGUAUCCAUACUGAAAUCCAUUGCAUUUCCAAAUAGAAAUACGUCUUACUUAAUUGUAUACUACAUAUUGUUUACUUUAUUACUACAUAGAUUUUUUAUAUGCAUGCACAAAAAGAUUGCUUACCAUUAUGAGAUUUAUAUCACCAAGUUUAGCACCAAGGGCCUGUGGACAUAGUUUCACAGCCAGAAUAUAGAUCCAACAGGUGGUAGCUCUCAAUUCGAGGAUUGGCCAAGUACACAUGAAUUCUAGCUACCCGUCGUACUCGCACCUGAUAAUUUAACAAAAACAAAAACUGAAGCCACGAAUGAUGAAAUUUUUUUUUGUGCAUGCAUAUGAGAUAGUGGAUACAAAGUUGCUCGUACAUUUGAAAUUCAUUUAUUUAUGAGACACCAUCAUCCCUAUCAACUUGCGAUUCAACGAGUCUUAACAGGAAUUUUCAAGAAUUUGCAUGUUUUCGCUCCAUCUCUGCAGGGCAAUUGAGGAUCAUCUUGGAGAGAAGGGUCUAUCGCUUCCGGUGAAUACGGAUGCCUUGAAGGAGGGUGACAACACUUGUUAUUUGGUUGAAAUAUUUCUGUUUCAUUGUGACUUUUCUUGUGUGCUGACAACGCUUAGCAAGGCCUGCAUUCGGAGAUGCAGGAGGUAUGUUGAAAUUCAAAACAGGCUGGUCUCUAUUUCUAUUUGUUCUCAAGGAGUUGCAGAACAUAUCUAAAAUUUAUGGGAUGGAGAAGAACAUCUUUUGGCGGCUUUUCGAGACUACCCUCUUGCAAUAACUUACCUUAUCAGACACUCAAAGAGGGGCGAUGAUCAUCUAUGGUUACAAAUAUAACAGUGCAAUAAAUUUCGAAUCAAGAAGACAUUUGAUGGUGAUGAUGUUCCCUGAGGUCAAGGAUGAGAACGAAAAGUUGCACAGACUUCUCAUUAAUAGGUCGCUUUUAUUCAAGGAAUGGGAUGUUCCCUGACAACUCAUUGCUCAUGUAAGCCCCAAGCCCUUGCACAAUGGGAUUUUCGUGGAGUUCAAAGAGGAGGUAGCUACUGGUCAUGGUGUCCUGCGGGAGUGGCUCCUCUUGGUAUACCAAGCACUCUUUAGUCCAGAAAAUUCCCUUUUUGUAGAAUGCCCAGAGGACCGCCACAGUUUCUUUCCCAACCCUGCACAACUCAAACCUGAACAACUUAAUCUCUUUGGCUUCUGUGGUCGAGUUAUCGCAUUAGCCGUUUUGCAUAAGGUGCAAGUAGGCAUUGCCUUCGAUCGUGUAUUUUUAUUGCAAUUAGCAGGGUAGACAUAGGGUGCGCAGAUCCAAUAAUGUACAGGAGUUGCCAAAAGAUUCUGGAGAUGGAUGCUGAUUUUGUUGAUUCAGAUGCUAUGGGGUUAACAUUUUCAGGGAAAUCGAAGGGUUCGGAUCCAGGAAAACCGUGGAGCUGUGCCCCUGAGGGAUCAACAUUGUUGUCAAUAGUGAGAGAACAAUAUGUACAUCUUCUUAUUCAGCAUUGCUUCGCCAAAUCAAUCUCUGCAAAGGUUGCCUAUUUUGCAAGCGAAGGCUGGCGAGAAGCUUUUUCCUAGCAACAGGUCUGAAGGGUCUUGAUUGUGCUUUACUUGGAGGUUGUAGAGGAUAUGUCCUUGGAGCAGCAGAGGCAGCUUCUUUUCGUUUUGGACCAAAGUGAAGUACCUACCAGUAAAUGGCGCUUCGGUUCCGAUUAGCGCCUUCCAUCAUCCCACACAUGCUUCUUCAGUUUGGCGCUUCCACAUUACCCAUCUCUAGCCAUCAUGCAACAGCGUGUCUCUUUUAUCUGCUAAAAACAGAUAAGCUGUAGUUUUGGAUCACCUGCUACUGGUAAUUAGCUCUGUUGCCCAUCAAAUGUACAUUGGAUGCUGCCAACUGGGCACUGGGAUUUCCCCGGCUAACCCUAUGUAAAGUUCCGUGACAAUGUUCCACCAUAAAAAAUUAACAAUUUUAUGCAGAAGAACGAUGAAUGCAUGGAUUCAAUGCUGAAUGCCAGAAAUAAUAUUUCAUACAUGUUCAAACCACUUUGUUAAAUCUUCACUUGCAGAGCCUUGAGCUUUUGCGUGUUUCUUCCGGCGUGCAAGUCCAAUCAACCUAUACAACAUCGAAGUCCGGAUGUCCGAGUGGGUCCAAGGCGUCAUACUCAACUUCGGGUCCUUAGAACCCCACUUCUGACAUUUCAUAUUUUUAGAUUCAUAGCAUUUCUGAUUUAGCAGCAUCAUAACACAUUUUUUUGGGUU